GUUUUAAUAGUUGAAUACAACGGCGGUUUUUCAAGUCGCAGGUUUUGGUGGAAGUCCAGAUUAGAAUG
rnacentral:tRNA from 1 species